AAACCCAGCUUCUCUGCAGCACCAGGAAGAAGGCAAGCCGGGCCACCAGGGCGCGGCCCCAGGAAGGAAAAUCCUCCAUGGUCCUGUUGACAGAUGUGGUAUCAAAUGAAUUGUUCUCUGCUUAGACACGACUUUGAUAUUUAUUGGUUCAAAUUGCUCGGCUGACUCAGUCUUGCUGAGCCCUGAAGCAUGGCAUUGAGAAGCUGCCUAAGAAGGAGGCAGGUCCAUCAGCCUGGGUGCCCGACUGAUUACCCUGAGCAGAGCUCCCCAGCCCACCUGUGAUGGACGCAUGGAGCUUGAGCAAGGAAUAAAUAUUCGUUGCUUCCUGAGAACCCCACUGCGGAUGAGAACAAAGGUUUGUUUGGUUGACCCUUUCUCAGAUCCCGCCCACUGAGAAGUGACAGUCCCUCCUCUCCCCGCCUCUCCCUGACCCCCAGCUCUCCGCGGCGGGAUCUGAGCCCUCUCCUGCUGGACUUGUGGUACUUGCUGAACAAUCUCGUGUUGUUGUCUGCCCGCUGGGAGAGAACACUGAUAAGAGAGGAGAUUAGGUGACUAAAUCUGCUG
rnacentral:lncRNA from 1 species